rnacentral:rRNA from 1 species
GAUCCUGGCUCAGGAUGAACGCUAGCUACAGGCUUAACACAUGCAAGUCGAGGGGCAGCAUGGGUGUAGCAAUACACCUGAUGGCGACCGGCGCACGGGUGCGUAACGCGUAUCCAACCUGCCGUGUACUCCGGGAUAGCCCUCUGAAAGGAGGAUUAAUACCGGAUGUGGUCAUUUGGAGACAUCUCUUAAUGAUUAAAGAUUUAUCGGUACACCGAUGGGGAUGCGUACGAUUAGGUAGUCGGCGGGGCAACGGCCCACCGAGCCUUCGAUCGUUAGGGGUUCUGAGAGGAAGGUCCCCCACAUAGGAACUGAGACACGGUCCUAACUCCUACGGGAGGCAGCAGUGAGGAAUAUUGGUCAAUGGGCGAGAGCCUGAACCAGCCAAGUAGCGUGAAAGGAUGACUGCCCUACGGGUUGUAAACUUCUUUUACGGGGGAAUAAAGUGCGGCACGCGUGCCGUUUUGCAUGUACCCCAUGAAUAAGCAUCGGCUAAUUCCGUGCCAGCCGCUGC